rnacentral:rRNA from 1 species
GAUGAACGCUGGCGGCGUGCCUAAUACAUGCAAGUCGAACGGGGAGUAGCAAUACUCUUAGUGGCGAACGGGUGAGUAACGCGUUGGUACCUGCCCCGAAGCGGGGGAUAACGGACCGAAAGGUCCGCUAAUACCCCAUGUGCUCGGUAACGAGUAAAGGUGAAAACCACUUUGGGAGGGGCCUGCGUCCCAUCAGCUAGUUGGUAAGGUAACGGCUUACCAAGGCGAUGACGGGUAGGGGACCUGAGAGGGUGGCCCCCCACAAUGGAACUGAAACACGGUCCAUACACGUACGGGUGGCAGCAGUAGGGAAUAUUGGUAAUGGGCGCAAGCCUGAACCAGCAACGCCGCGUGUGCGAUGACGGCCUUCGGGUUGUAAAGCACUUUUGACUGGGACGAGGAAGGACGGUACCGGUCGAAUCAGCCUCGGCUAACUACGUG